AAACCAUGAUGAGGACAUCUCCGUUGUAAUUCUCGAUAGCGCUCCUAAGUUUCGUACAAUGUCUCUCCUUCCUGUUAAGAGAAACUAGUUAUAUACAUUCCAAGUUU